rnacentral:sRNA from 1 species
AUUCGCCGUGGCUUGGCUCGUAGUUGGAGGAGUAAGCCGGCGGCACCAUUCCUUGCGGCCGCUUUGAGAUCGCAU